CCUACGGGUGGCAGCAGUGGGGGAUAUUGCACAAUGGGGGGAACCCUGAUGCAGCGACGCCGCGUGGGUGAAGAAGCGCCUCGGCGCGUAAAGCCCUGUCAGCAGGGAAGAAAAUGACGGUACCUGACGAAGAAGCCCCGGCUAACUACGUGCCAGCAGCCGCGGUAAUACGUAGGGGGCAAGCGUUAUCCGGAUUUACUGGGUGUAAAGGGGGCGUAGACGGCGAUGCAAGCCAGGAGUGAAAGCCCGGGGCUCAACCCCGGGACUGCUCUUGAAACUGCGUGGCUGGAGUGCAGGAGGGGCAGGCGGAAUUCCUGGUGUAGCGGUGAAAUGCUUAGAUAUCGCGCAGAACCCCGAUUGCGAAGGCAGCGUACCGGCUCCACACUGACGCUGAGGCACGAAAGCGUGGGUAUCGAACAGGAUUAGAUACCCGAGUAGUC
rnacentral:rRNA from 1 species